AUCAUGGACAAUGAUAAAAAUUCACCUAUGUGUGCAAGCAGCGCUGGUACCUUGACUGCACUAUGUGACCCUCUACACAGGAGGCUGUGUGCCUUUGUUCCAGCACCAGCAAUGCACUUCUCCCUUGAAUUCCAGCUCCAGCACAUGCUCCUCAGGUCAACUUUACCUGCAGUGCUGAGCUAUUGUGACAGUAUGGCUUUUGUGACUUGCGUUGAGCAGGAAGCUUUCAAAGCCAUGUGCCAAAGAAAUGAAAAGAACCCAGAGCCGCUCGCAGAUUCCUCCAGGAAUGCGAUGAGAAGGGCCGCACCAUCCCUGUCCUACUGUUGGAAGGGAGGCACUUCUCUUUCCUUUCCCACUUUCUGUAAAACACCGCUUACUAUAAAAGGACAGCUGGAUCCGUGCCGCUCCUUCUGCGCUUCAGGCUCCAUCUUUUAAAACUUUUCUGCCCGCACCUUCCCCAUCACGAAUAAGCGCUGCGCUUUUCCGCCGUCAAUAGUUACGUCCAUGCGGAAGGGACACCUCGCAGAGCAGACGGGCCGGGUGCGGGCACCCAAAAAGCGGCAGCCGGAUUCUCAGCCGCGUUAAUUCCGCACGGAGCUGCUUGUCGGCGUAAAGCAGAACGCGGGGCCGGGGCAGGGGAGGGGGGGGUGCAGCGCUGCCCGCAGCCGUUCUCCCGACCCGGGGCCGGCCUUAGCGAUGGGGCGGAAGGGAAGCGCUGCGAGCUCGAAACGAAAGCUUUAGGAACUCGCGGCCGAGGCCUUCACGGCCACCGGGGAAAACCGCGUAUGACUCGCAGGACCUGCGAGGCGGCAUUUCUGGAAAGAGCCGGGUGUAAAAGCGCUAAAGUAUAUUUUAAAGAAUUGAAGUAUUGGGCACGGCCGCAGGGACAGAGCGUGAGAAGGGCCGGCCGUAACGUACCCGUGCAAGCAAUUGAGGCGAUCAAAAGCAAAACAGACGCCGAGGGGAAUCGGCAGCGAACGGGCCACGGCUGUGCCAACCCGCCAGGGCCCUUUGCUGGCCGCACCCGGAGCGCUAAGCACAACGACGGGCUCAGCCCACAGCCCUGCACGGCGCCGUCCCGCAGCACCCCGAGGCUUCUCCCCCUGUGAGCCUCGAGCCGGGUCGAGAUGCGUACGGAACGUACUUAGGAUUGAGCCGAGGGGCGAAACGCUCGCUCGGUUGGUGCAGAGGAAACGGAGCAGAGCUACAACCUAGCAGGACAAAGGAGACACUAUUGACUCAUUCCAGACUGCCGACUUAGCAGCUCAACUUUGUUUCCUUUUAACUUUAGUAACAGUAGGAGCUCAGAGCUCCCCGCUCCGUUCUCCGCGCAAAUAGAAACACCUGGACUUCAAAACAGCAACGCUCUUUGAAGCCACCCCGAGCCAUUAACACAUUAAAAACCUCCGUGCGCUGCCUCAAUCCCGCACUAAAC
rnacentral:lncRNA from 1 species